GAGCUCGUUUGUGCUGGUUAGCCUGGUAAAAUAACGUUACCUUUACGUUACUAACUCUGGUGGUUUAUAUAACUGGCAUAUUGCAACCUUAUAAGUUACGUGUCUGUAAAUGAGGUGAAAGAAAGGAAAAUAUGAUGGUUAUUUUUUGAGCUGGUUCUGAAUUAACAUUAGCUAAGGUGCUAAUUUUACCGUUGAAGGUUUUAGCUUGACUUUUGCCGCUUAAUCUUCCUCGAGCGGCUUUGGGUUGAGAUGAGCUCAGUGCUGAGUGUCUGUUAGCAUUGUUGCUACAUCCUUUGUCGAACAAUAUAACCUUAACUGAUAAUUGACCCUCCCCCCCUUCUCUUUUUUUUUUUUUUACAUCUAAUGACUGUUCAUUUGUUUAAACCAUGACCUUGCAGAUGUUAAAAGUGCAGAUUAGCUACGUAGGUCAGCAAGGAUGAAUUCUAACUUUGUUCUUGGAAAUGGAAAUGACCUUACCCACUACACCAAGGGUAAUCAUGCUUGGAAAUAGCUUGAUGUCUGCAACCCGGUGGAUGGUCAGUAUGGAGGAGAAGGUAUUUUUCGAGCCAGACCAACUACAUGAUUUUGCCAGCGUCCUUGCUGUCUUUUUUGGGUCAUAUUACGUCUUCAAUCUGGAGUAUCAGGAGUCAGCAUCCACCACGCUGGAGAUGAUACAACGAUUCUUUGUGAGGAUCAAUCCAGAUGUUGGUACCAAAUGCACAGCCAAAGUCGGUACAAGCCGCAAGGCGGGAAGUCUUGUCAAGAGGAAAGUAGUCAGAGUCAACUCCCAGAUCACCACCUUCUUCCAACGACUUGCUGAAUUUGAAUGGAGGACUUCCAACUAGUUCAGCUUCCACAAGAUGGAUCCCACUGAUUUUGUUUGACGAAUGGAAUAAAAGUUCUUCUGAUGUAGGAAAUGUGUUCUAUGGUUUCGUUGUUUUAUAGCACAUUAUAUUGUAUUGUGACAUUGUUCUUUAUGACAUUGCGAAUAUGUAAAUGGAUUUUAUUUCUACAAAUCUGCUGAAAAUAAAUACCUGUUAUUCACAGUA